rnacentral:tRNA from 1 species
GUCACAGUCGCCUAAUGGAUUGGGCAUUAGCCUUCUAAGCUAAUAUGUAUAGGUUCGAUUCCUAUCUGUGAUG